rnacentral:rRNA from 1 species
UGCUGCAUGGCUGUCGUCAGCUCGUGUCGUGAGAUGUUGGGUUAAGUCCCGCAACGAGCGCAACCCUUGUCUUUAGUUGCCAUCAUUAAGUUGGGCACUCUAAAGAGACUGCCGGUGUCAAACCGGAGGAAGGUGGGGAUGACGUCAAGUCCUCAUGGCCUUUAUGACCAGGGCUACACACGUACUACAAUGGCAGGUACAAAGGGCAGCCACUUAGCGAUAAGGCGCGAAUCCCGUAAAACCUGUCUCAGUCCGGAUUGGAGUCUGCAACUCGACUCCAUGAAGUUGGAAUCGCUAGUAAUCGCAGAUCAGCACGCUGCGGUGAAUACGUUCCCGGGCCUU